AGUGAAUAGAUACCCUGGUAGUCCUAGCCGUAAACGAUACUCGCUAGGUGUCGGCCACGGUGCGACCGUUGUCGGUGCCGUAGGGAAAGCCGUGAAGCGAGCCACCUGGGAAGUACGGCCGCAAGGCUGAAACUUAAAGGAAUUGGCGGGGGAGCACCACAACGGGUGGAGCUUGCGGUUUAAAUUGGAUUCAACGCCGGAAAUCUUACCGGGACCGACAGCAACAUGAAGGCCAGGCUGAAGACUUUGCCGGAUUAGCUGAGAGGUGGUGCAUGGCCGUCGUCAGUUCGUACUGUGAAGCAUCCUGUUAAGUCAGGCAACGAGCGAGACCCACGCCCACAGUUGCCAGCGUACUCUCCGGAGUGACGGGUACACUGUGGGGACCGCCGCUGCUAAAGCGGAGGAAGGAAUGGGCAACGGUAGGUCAGUAUGCCCCGAAUAUCCCGGGCUACACGCGAGCUACAAUGGUUGGUACAAUGGGUAUCUACCCCGAAAGGGGAUGGAAAUCUCCUAAAGCCAAUCUUAGUUCGGAUUGAGGGCUGCAACUCGCCCUC
rnacentral:rRNA from 1 species